UGGAUUUUAGCUCAGCUGGGAGAGCAUCUGCCUUACAAGCAUAGGGUCAGCGUUUCGAUCCCGUUAACUCCCA
rnacentral:tRNA from 1 species